GGAGAUCCUAUGUAGUAGAAAUAAUAAGAUAUUUAUUGAACUCUCAACUAUUACAAAUAGCAUGUUAGGAGCUACACUGGAAGGGUUCUGGACUCUGUCUUAUGACUAUUAGAGAAAGUAGAAGUGACAUCAUAUC